UGUGUAUAUACGUUCUUCACAUCCAGAGAAUAAAACAAAACCAUUUACAUUCAAACAGCAGUGUGAAGUCAAUGUGUCAAGACUACCAAAGUUAGAUACAGUACAGUAUAAACAAAACCUACAGACAUAGUCCUCAAUACUUUUGUCAUACUUUACAACAUUUUACCAAGUGUCAUCGGGGACAUCACAAAUCCUUUGGAGAGUCAUAUGAAAACAUUUCACACAUAAAUACACAACUUAAAUGAUACACAAGAUUUACUACAUUUACCAAAAGCCUAUGGCGUUUCCACAAAUCUGAAAUUACUUUCAUCAAUGAUUAUGAGGCAUUACUACACAAUAAAUGACUAUUUAUGGAUACUUUAUAGCUUUCCCAUUGUACAUGAAUCACGUGCUGCAAAGCAGUACAGCGUCAACCAUACAUGCAGAUUGUAUUGUUUAUGUUUAAAUGAAGAAACUGUCCUGCAGAUAUGAUAUGAUAAAACUACAAACUGUAUGUUGGAUAUUAAAGCCUGAUCUCACAUAGAAUCAAUACAGAAUGAAAACUGAGAACAUAUGACGCAAACUGAUUGGUUUUGCCUCAAACAUUAACCACUUACUAAUAAUGUUUCUUAAAAAUAUGCCAAUUCAUUGUUUAGUGUAGAAAUAAGUGCUUUAAGUCACAGCUGUAUUAAAGACUGACAAUGGAAACAUACAACAGUUAUCAUACAUAAAUGAAUAGCCAGCAAUGUAAAUGUAUUGACCUUUUCAUUGGUGGUUAUUUCAGAUAUCCAUGAGAUUUUUCACAAAUGAAUCUUAUGAAAGAGUUACUACCAUUAAAAAAAAAUAAAACACAGACAGUGGUUGAAUGCUUUCAUGAGUAUACUGUACUCAUUUAUACUGUAUAUAUAAAUCAUGCAUACGCACACUCACACUUGUCCCCUUUGCAGAAAUGUUAGAUUUAUAAAAUAUUUACAUUGACUGAUAGUGACGUGUGUUCCCAGCAUUAUGGAAAAUGUGUUAAAA
ensembl:lncRNA